GAGUUUGAGCGAUUGACGUUCGUACCGUCUAUCAGCUUACGAUCUCUUGUCAGAUCUCAUUAAAUCUAAACUUUUUAAACAAGAUUCCCUGUUAUCCAUGCUUGUGAGUGUGGUUUAAUCAUAAUCUUGUAUUUUACUUUCCACACUUUUCAUCUCUCUGCCAGUGACGUGUUGGUUGUCCUCAGCGUCCCUCCCAUAGGUCGCAAUGAUUAAAACCAGCAAAUACGGUCUCGGCUUCAAGUGGGCGCCAGAAUUUCGUUGGCUGCUUCCGGAUGCAGCGGAGGAGUUGGCUAGUCCUAU
rfam:Human coronavirus HKT1, complete genome